GCCAUGGAGGGGGCGAGGCUUAGGGCAACGCAGGGGGCCGGCCUCCAACUCUGCACCCAGCAUAGUGGGAGCUCAGGAGAUCUCUGCAAAGAAGUGCUGGAGGGGGGUGUCCCUCAUGCCAUCACACACUCUCUUGGAAGCAUGGUCUUCAUCCCCCUCUUCCUACCUGCUGGGCAGUCUCAUUUCCAUGUGGUCUGGAACAUCCUUCAGGGGGGCUGGGUGGGUCAGGGCAGGUCUCCCCACUUCUCCAUCCUCAGCACCUCAACCAGGAGUGCACAUCACAGUAGCCCAAUGGGGUGAUAGACAGCAGCCAUGAGGGGCCGCAAAGAUGAGGCCUCAACUCUCUUUUUCAGACUCUGAGAAGCCAACAAUACUGCCCGGAAGGGGUGGUCUUUCCUCACACCAUGGGGAACGUAUUCAAUGACCCAAGAGGAACCAGGGAGGCUGCUCGUCCCAGAAGGACCUGGAAGGGCCGGUUCCAGAGAGCCCUGGCUCGUGUGUCCAAGUUCUUCAGGCGAGGACGCCGCUCAUUCCGAGGCUGAGUCCACGUGAGUCUGAGACACGGGGCCACGACAGAGAGCAAGACCUUCUGCUGUCCAGGCCCCUCCUCUCCCAAGAAUCUUGUUAAUGAGGUUGAAAUAAAGGCCGGUGUGCUUUACAA